rnacentral:tRNA from 1 species
GCCACUGUGGUGGAAUUGGCAGACGCAAGGGACUUAAAAUCCCUCGAACAUUACGUUCGUAUCGGUUCGAGCCCGAUCAGUGGCACCA